rnacentral:misc_RNA from 1 species
CAAGAUUAAAACUCAAAGGAAUUGACGGGGACCGCACAAGCGGUGGAUGAUGUGGAUUAAUUCGAUGCAACGCGAAAACCUUACCUACACUUGACAUGUCUGGAAUCCCGAAGAGAUUUGGGAGUGCUCGCAAGAGAACCGGAACACAGGUGCUGCAUGGUUGUCGUCAGCUCGUGUCGUGAGAUGUUGGGUUAAGUCCCGGCAACGAGCGCAACCCUUGUCAUUAGUUGCUACGAAAGGGCACUCUAAUGAGACUGCCGGUGACAAACCGGAGGAAGGUGGGGAUGACGUCAAGUCCUCAUGGCCCUUAUGGGUAGGGCUUCACACGUCAUACAAUGGUCGGGACAGAGGGUCGCCAACCCGCGAGGGGGAGCCAAUCCCAGAAACCCGAUCAGAAGUCCGAUCGCAGUCUGCAACUCGACUGCGUGAAGUCGGAAUCGCUAGUAAUCGCGAUCAGCAUGCCGGGUGCGGUGAAUACGUUCGGCCUUGUACACACUGCCCGUCACACCAUGGGAGUGGGUUUUACCAGAAGUAGUUAGCCUAGCCGUAAGGAGGGCGAUUACCACGGUAGGAUUCAUGACUGGGGUGGUCGUAACAAGGUAA